CAAAAUUGCUAGUGUGAACCAGGCUUUAAAAGUCUUGAAAUGAGGUACAUGUUUCUGAAAGGUGUUUAUUCGGUAACCUGAAACUACCAGUUUGAGCAAGGAAAACAAUUAGCCUUUCUCACGAGUCACGCCGCCAUUUUUGGGUUGGCUUUUCAGCCGAACUCUGCGAGUUAAGUCCACAUAACAACGACUUUUUAUAAUUUUUUGGACGAAUGAUGGUAAAUUUGCUUUGUAAAUGAGAAUUAGAUGCCACCCAAACGAGAAUUAUUGUGAUUUCAAUAACGUGUUUUAUUAUUAGCAUGACAAAAUUACUGGAUGCUGAUUGGUUGAGAGGAGUACAAUUGUUUCAUUAAUUGUACUGCAGUACAACAACUCGUCUUCAUAUAUCACGACUGAAAUGAUCAACAACGUUACCCAAUGGACGUUGCUUGUUUGGAUGCACAGUCAACAUUUCAAACUGACUUAUUGUUGGACAGAUUUUCUUGCCACAGAUGUACAAGUCUUUGCAUGAGUCACAUGCUAUAUAUAGAAUGACUAUACGGUGGCAUCUAAUUCUCACAACUCAGAAGAUGGGUCAUUUUUAGUGCAAUGUUUCCAUGGAAACGUUGCACUAUUGUGAUGAGUGGCGAAAUUCAAGCGAGAGAUACAUAGAGUAAACUUUCCGGGGGGGGAGUUACAAAUGUUAUCUCAAUGCCAUAUCUAAAAAAACUUCAAGGUUGGAGAAUUUUUAAGUUAAAACGAUAUUUAUAGCAACAGUAAAAUUUCAUAAAUUUGAUUUAGCUUGACGAUCAAUAUUUAAACGUCUACAUUACAGCAAUGUUAAAAGUUUACUGAGAUAACAAAUAUGGGGAUUCGUGCCAUUAGCACCCCCGUAUCUUCAAAUUUUCGUGAGAACUGCAAGUCAGCAAAAUCAGCACCCAUAAAUAAAUAUGACGACGCGUAUGAGUGCUGGUCGAAAUUUUAGAACAGGCCUUGGGCAAACGAUUUAACAUGGGUAUGUAUUAUUUCUAUGCAAUUUUAGACUCUAUUUCGGGGCUUCAACUCGCUGCAUUUCAUACGAGGCCCGAGUUUUUGCAUUUCUAUUUAUGAUUUUCUUAUAUUUCAAUUUAAAUCUCGUAGCUCAAUUUAUGUCACGAAAUUUAGUUGUACAAC